AGAGAGAUAGCUGGGUCAAAUAGUGGUUCCAUUCCAAGUUUUCUAAGGAAUUUCUAUAUUGUUUUACAGAUUGGUUGCACCACUUUGCAGUUUCACCAGCAAU
rnacentral:pre_miRNA from 1 species